rnacentral:misc_RNA from 1 species
AGAGUUAAACAGUACGUGAAAUUGUUGAAAGGGAAACGAUUGAAGUCAGUCAUGCUAGUGAGGAAUCAACUUGGUGGUUUACUUCCUUGUGUAUUUUUUUACUUGGCAGGUUAGCAUCAAUUUUGGUUGUCAUCAAAUAAUUGGGGGAAUGUGGCUUUUCUUCGGGAAAGUGUUAUAGACCUUGAUAGAUGUGGCGACUGAGAUUGAGGUUUGCAGCGGAUGCCUUUGGCUAGUCAUCUGUCUUCUGACCGUCACCUCGCUUUUGACAGCUUGCUGAUGAUUGUGGGAUUUGGUGGCCUAGAAGUUAGAAUGUACAUAAAUUCGCUAAGGAUGCUGACGUAAUGGCUUUAAACGA